UGAUUCUUAUCUAAAUCUAAACUGGAAAAUAAAAAAAAAAAAACACACAUUAAAAAAAAAAAACAGGGACACUUCAGAAGUCGCACAAACUCGCACACUCUUUUCAGCCAUGAUCUUAUAAAGUAGCAUCCACUUGUAGUGACAGAAGCAGGCUCAUGAGGAAAAGAAGGGGUCUCAGAAUGACACCCACCUUGCUUAACCUUAAUCUUGGGAUUGCAACACAUAGAACUUACAGGAAAUGAAUGUAUACUGUUUAAGCCACAGAUGUUUGAUAUUUUUAAAUCUAGACUUAUAACAAGAUGAAAUAGAUAAUGAUAAGGAGUGGGAUGAUGCUAUGACACAUACCUCAAAAUAAAAGGGGAAUAUUUGGAAUUUGGUGAUGGAAGGAUUUUGAGUUGUACACUAGAAAUGUUAUAUGUGAUAACUAGUGAGGCCUCAAGUGGAAUGGACAUAUUUUUAGGAGUACAAGAAGCCUUGCUGCUGAGUGGUAAAGAGUUUGGCAGGUCUGUGUUCUGGUAUUUUGUCAUUGGAAAAUCUUGGGUAGAUACAACUGGAUAUUUAUUUCACUGAGGAAGUUUAUAAGCAAUGUUUUAGAGCAACAGUGCGGUACUUUCUGUCUGAUUAUUGGAAAAUGUGAGAGGAUACAGGUGAACUGAAAGAGGAUUUGUUAAGGAAAAAGGGACCACAACAUGAAGAUUUAGUAAAUUCUCAAGUAAUGUAUAUUACUAAAGAGAAGAUGAAAAUAGAGGCAAAGGAGAAGAGGAAGAAGAAAACAGGCAAAUGGAAACAUGAGGGAGGAAGGAAAGAAGGAAAAAGAAAUGAAAGAAAGGUAAAUGCAUAGAUUUGUGAUGAAAACAAUGUGUGGAGGAAGUAUUUGGUUAAAAUUUUUGGCCUAUGUGAAGAGAUAGACUGUCUAAGCUCAAGGGAAUAAAAUGGGACAAAGUGAAUGAAGGCUGUCAGACACCUUGGAUUUGAAACAGUUGUAAACAUUCAUGACUUUACAGGGAAAAGGAAGUUUUCCCAACUGCAGCUCAGAGACCCUAAGAGGCACACUCAGUGUCACUGUCUGGUUGUUGUUGGAACAAGACCUCCCCCACAGCCUGUAGCUGUGACACAGAUGGCAAGCCCACAGAGGUAACUGGGUAAUGCUGAGUGUGGGGGGGGGCAGGGUUUGCAGAGAGUGCUGUGGGAGAACUGUGUUCCCAUUUUGUUAUUUACAAUGAGAUGGUAUUCAGAUAUAGGUCUUUUUAGGAUAUUUUAGGUUUAGAUGAGAUCAGGAAGGCGCUGUCCUCGUGUUUACAAGUGAUUUCUCCCUUUUUCUUAUACUCCUUUUUCAUCAUUGUUACCAUCUUCUUCCUAGAUCCUUCUUCUCCUUCUCUCUCCCUGGCUCUCCCAGAAAAUAACAAACUACAGUCUCAUAAGACAGCACUCACCAGAACCCAAUCAUACACUAAUGCUCGGACAUUGGAUAUCUAACCUCUAGAAUUUAGGAAAUAUUAAUUGUGUCACAUGGCUCACCUAGACUGUGAUAUUUUGUUUUCUCUAACACAGUUACCUGUGUAAAGUCACAGAGUUUGCCAUAGGAUUUUGGCAAGCCUUGUGAGUCUAAUUGUUCAAUUGUCUCUCUAAAACAAGGAAUAUUUUUAUAGAAUCAGUGAAGAAAUUAAAGACCAAAUGGUUAUCAAGAGUAUCUAUAGCUUAUUGAAUUGUUUUAUGUAUAUUAUUAUGUAUUAUAGGUAGAUAAUGCAUUGUUACUGAUAAUUAUGUUGCUAAAUAUACCUAUUGGAUAGAAAGAAAAUCUUAGCCAAGUAUAAUUUGACUGCUUUCAUAAUGCUCUGAGAUAUUUUAUAUACACUUACACUAUUAGUAUCAGUGCAUGCCUUAUUUAAAUGUCAAUUUCAUCCUUAAUUCUAGUGUUCUGCUUCUGAAGUCACCAAUUACAGUUUCACAUUGACGCAGUAGCAUGUUUGAUCAAUUGUUAGAUUAGUAUUUGACAAUAAAAAUUAUUUUAGGGUAAACUCUGCCCAGCCCACCUGGUAAUAGAUUGAGAGGAACAUGAGCAUGUAAAUAACAAAGCUAAAAAAGGAUGUUACAUUUGAUUUUACAAAGCAGCAGUCUAAGAGAAGCAGGAGGCAAGUUGAAUAGUGCAGUCACUGAAAAUCAAACCCAAUUGAGAUCAGUUUCAGACUAAAGGUGGUAACUGCAAGAAACCUUGACAAUGGGGUCUUCCACAACAACAAAAUUCAAAUUAAGUAGAGAAAGUUAUAGAAAUGCUGAAUGAAUUCCCUGAGUUACUCCCCGAUUUUGAUAUCCUUCAACUACCAACACCUCAUCUGUGCUUCAAAAAUAUACCACAUCUCCUUCUUAGCAUUUGCAAUUUUAUUUUGAAAUUUUUUUCCUGUAGCUGAUUAAAAAAUUGUUUAGUUGAGAAAUACUCUCUCUCAACUCCAGUCCCAGAUGAAAAAGGCUGAGCUAUGCCAUACUGUCCAUUAUCCCUGUUUUGCUUUCAUUAAUACAAUACAAAAUACAUGUCUAGCAUUGCUCCUUGCUGUGUUUUAAUUUCCUGUUAAUGUAUUUGUCUUCUGAACUAGACUGGGAGAUCACUGAGGAUGGAGAUUCAUCACUGUCUUGUUUAGCACAUAAAAAAUAGCUACUUUAGCACAUAGUAGGGCUACUUUAGCACUUUUUAAUAUGUGUGAAUAAAAAUCAUUAUUUCAUCAUAUCUGUGAGUCAGUUGUCCGCUUGAGUUGGUACGAGAGACAAGAAGAGAAAAUAAAAUAGAAAGCUGUGAAAUAGGGGGAACUCAUUGUUGGGGUAAGCUAAUUCCAUAAGAAAAUCUUGGAGAGACCCCUAAACUUUGUGGGGUGAUAACGUUCACCAAUACACAAGCACAGCUGAGCUGUAUGACAAUAAUAAACUGGGAAAACAUGGAGUUAAGACAUAUAUGGAACAACUAUGCAUCAAGCAGAUUUGGUUACCUGAUAUGGGACAGAAGAACUGGGAGUCAAGAAAGGGAUGGAGAGGUGAUAUACAUACAGCAAUCACUCACACUAAAACUCUUUCUGACUGCCAGUCAUAGUGUCAUCGUAUGCUAGAAUACUUAAAAUCAGUUAUGUGAAGCAACUCUGAUUGCUCCUAUUUUAUAAACUAGAAACCAAUGCACAGAUCUUUGCACGGUUUAUGCCAGGCCAUGUGAUUCCCAAAGAAGUUUGAAUUCAGGAUUAGACAGUACAGUUGUAAAUCCAUAUUUAAUGUCAGCCCAGGAAAGAAAUCGGACUCUUCAGUUUUUGCCAUUGAUAUUCUGUGUGACUUUGAUUCUGUUAGUCAGCCCUUCUGUGCCAUUGAACUCCUCAUUUGCAUAAUGAGGACAUCGUUGACACCGAUCUCAAAAUUGUGUUUGAUGUGAGUAACACUCAAAAUCCUGAUUUUAAUUAAACCAUGGAGGAAAAUAUUUCUUGAGUAAAUGUGGGGAAAUAAAAUGGGAAAAGAUUUCUUGAGUAAAUGUGGGGAAUAAACGGGAUGGAAGAUGUUUUGUGGUUAAAGAACUUACUACCAGUGCACAAGUGUGAGGAUCUGAGUUCUUAUCCUCAGAAUUCAUACAAGCGCUGAGAGCAUGCAGGAAUUGAAAUUUCCCGGAAUAGGCUGGCAAGACUAGCUAUAUCAAUAAGUUUCAGUAUUGUCUAAGUGACUUAGUCUUGAUGAUUGAGGUGGAAAAGCAGAGACCAAGAAUGAUGAUAGAAAUCAAUCUCUUGCUUACACAACAUGCCACCUACAUGAUGAAUGCCUGAACACAUAUGAAUGUGCACACACACACAGAAAUGUGCAUCCACCCCUGCAAGCAUGCACACACAUAGAUGUGUGCUGCAAACACAUGAAAUGGGAAAAUAGCAAUACAAAGAAAAUAGGAGAAUCUAUGAUCUUUCAAGGGGCAGGGGAGAUUCACUGUCAAUUGUGAACAUUCCCAAGGAGUAAAAUGAAGCCUUUAGAUGUGGAGUUUUGACCACAUCUUGACAACUUGCCCAGUGCAGGGGACAGAAUUAAAUUAUGCUAGGAAAACAGAGUGGAAGUGAAAUUGUGAAAUGUGAACCCUCAUAGGCCAUCCAAGAUCAGGAUUCAUCGUAAGCAAUGAAAUUGAAGACUCUGCUUAGAUGUUGGGAGGUAAAUCUUGGAGAAGUUUCCUAAGCAAAUGAAAGAAGCUUUCUAUCUCAGGAUGUUGGAGGUGAGAUUUAAACCUAGAGACAGAUUACAAAAGCUUGUUAUCCAAUGUUUCUCCUCGUCCUAUCCUCAUGAUUUCUAUUGGCUCCAAAUUAUCAAUGCAUGUUCACAGGGAGACUCCCUGUCUAUGUCACUUUGUCAGGAAUACUGGACUAGAGUGGAGAUGAAGGGAUUUCCCUCAAAUGUUUUCCUAAAUGUUGAACACCCUCCAUUCUGUACAGGUUCCGGUUUUCUGGAUUGGUUUUAUUGUCAUUAUUGUUACUGUUUUUAAGGCAGUCUCUUGCCUGUCUCAGGGUGGCCUUGAACUCAAUAUGAAGCUGAGGCUGAACUCUUUCUUGAUCCUCCUGUCUCCACACAGUUAGUACUGGGAUUACAAAUGUGCACUACCAAGGCUGGUAGUGUGCAGUGAUGCAGAUCUAAGCCAGGGCCAGGAGCAUACAUUUCACCACUGAGCUAUGGCCUCAGUGUCAGUUUUCUGUGCUAAAGGUAAAAAGAAAAGUCGAUUGGUUUCUAAAAUAUGGAUUGAACAGAACGUAUUUGCUGUUUGGUUAGAAUUAAACUUUCAAAAAUUUUUUCUAAGUACGUGUUGCAUCUGCCUGUAAAGACAAAGGCAAGUUAAGGGAAACCAGGAACUUAGAAGAGUCUCUUGGGUAAAGGCAAUAAGGGCCUUUAAAGCUUAAAGGCCACAAACCUGUAGGGUGCUUGAAGAUCUUACCAGGGUCUAUGUCUCUAAAGAUGAUCAAUACUGUGAAUGAUCACAUAAGACAUAUGGAAGAUCAAUAGCCUCUAAAAUUUAAAAUAACCUGACUUGGACUUAACUCAGUCCUAAUUAAAAUUGCAAGUAUAAGCAAUCAAAAUGUGAUGGAAUACUACUUAUAUGACUAGAUAACACAAAGCCUACACAUGCGUCUCGAAAGUUUUCUUUCUGGUCCUGUGACAUCUUCAUUUAAAUAUCCUAAUCUAAUUAUGUAUAGAUUCAAAAGGCUAAAUUUCGUGUUAAAAUUAGUUUUUUUCUGCAUGUAUUUUCCAUUAGAAGAAGAUUUAUUAGGUAUCAAAUUCUCUUGCAGGGGGAAUGGUUAAAUGAUUCGUUUGGGUGGAUUUGAUUGUUGAGGUAAAUAUAGUACAUGAAAAUGAAUCUUAAACUAAAUUCAAAAUUCAAGUUUCCACAGCCUACACUUUACUCUCUAGCUCAAAAGUUAACUUUGGGAGUACUUCAGAUUGUCUGUGAACGUUUAAAAAUACCAUUUACUGAAAUCCCACCCGAGGCAAUUAAAUUGGAGUCUCUGUAGGCGGAGGCUGAGUAUUUCUCAGAAUCUCCCCAGUGAUUCCAGGGAACACAUAGACUAAAAUCUGUAUGUGGGGAUGUGACAGGGCCAGGAAUGGUGAAAUGGUGACCAAAGCUACUUCACUCAUUUGUUUCCAUGUUCCUCACUCAGCAUUAUGAAACAUUCUAGGGGACACAUGUAAAUAGCACAAUGUCCUCAUUCUGUGGAUGCUGAGACUGUAGUAUGGGGUGAAAGGCCAGGUGAAACUCUGGCUUCAAAAAUAUAGAAUGAGGGAGGAUGAGACAACACAAUAGGUAAUAGCACUUAUCUCCAAGUCUGAGGACCUGCGUUUCAUGCCCCAAACCCAUGGUGGAAAGAGAGAACUGACUCAUUCAAGCUGCCUUCUUCUCACCAUGUAUACACUAUAGCACAUUACACACAACAAUAAAUAAAAAUAAACAAACUAACACAUGUUAACAAUUAAAAAAUAAGAUGUAGAAUCCAAAGAAAGUAGACUAAGAAAAUAUAUUUGACUAAAUGAUUGAAGCGCUAAAACACAAUUGAGAACUCUUACUAAAAGUCAUUAAGGGUUAUGGAACAGAAAGAGUUAGGGUUUUCAAAAUGGAUGUAAGCAGGUUUAGAGAAAAAUUUCACAUUUCAGUUUCAAGUUAAAGAUUAAUGGUAAAAAAAUAAAAUGAGAAUUCAAAGGGGGGAGUAGACACCAAAAUAGAGCUGAAGCAAAAUCCAGAGUAUUUAUAAACACAAAUCCUAUGGUGAUAUGUCCACGGAUCAAGGACUGCUUUAGUAUAUUUUUAGCAACUGAAGUGAAAUACUUGAAGUGACUAAUGGCAUGGUGAUGUUUUUUCCUUUUGUAAGAAAUGUUGACUGGCUCAUGGUUUAAGAGCAUGUUGCAGGCUGUGGGGGAAGGAGAGGGUCCUUCUGCCCAUAGCUGUAUCAUGGCAAAUGACAAUGGGGCAGCUGAGUGUGGAAGGAAGAAUUCGCCCAUCACAGGGAAAGCCAAACAGUCUGGGUAGGCCAACUUCAAAACUUUAAAAUAACCUACCUUUACAAACUCCUCAGAAUCCCUGUAGCAAUGCUUGCCUCUCUUAAAAGGGCAUGAUGGUGUUAGCUCAAGGACCUGCCACUACCCCUUCCGUCUUUCAGUAUCUUCCCCUCUCAUAGGUCCAUGCCGUCUCCCAAAACCUCCAGCCUGGGGAGAUGUAAACCAAACUAAGACAGGAGCCUGGCUCUCAGAGGAAAGGUCUGGGAAAGUGUGUGGUGAGAAACAUUUGGAUAUACGGAGUUUGAAGUGCUGGUGUCUAGACAUCAAAUAGAUGUAUGUCAGCACGGUGUGAGGUAAUGCUUUGGGAAAUGCCUGGCUGAUAUACAAGGAGAGUUUUUUGAGAGUGGAGCUUUAUCCUCAAGAUGAUAAGGAAAGUGGGGGAAAGCUGAUUCUUAGGAAAAGUAUAUGUUCCUGAACAAAGCAGAAGGACAGUUAGAAAGACUUAUCAAGGGAGCAGAUCAAUAAUGUCAAAGCUCAAAGGGAGGUUUAUAAUUGAUUCUGAGAGCAGCCCCUGAGUUUGAUAUCCAAAGAGCUCUUAAGAAACAUUUAGAGAUAGGAGACCAAACUGAAAGUGCUGGAGGAGUGAACAUAUGGAGAAGAGAUGACUAAUAUUUAAAGAAACAUGAGCUUUAAAAGCAAAUGAAUAGUCCUGGGCACCCGAGAUGGUUCAUUGGACAAUAUCACUUGCUGACAAACCUAAGGGAUCUGGGUUCGAUUCCUGGAGCCCAAAGGGUGAAAAGGAGGAACCAACUCUUGAAAGUUGUUGUCUGACCUCUGUACAGGAUCCUUAACAUACACAUAAACAAGUGAAGGUAAAUAGAAGAAGCAUAAAGGAUGAUUAGAAAAGGAUGAUGGAUGACAAAUCACUAGAGCCAGUGUGUCCUUUUUAAUUGGGGAAAGAAAAUGAAUUGCUUCUUUUUUUGCAAAGGAGCUUCUCGGGAGAAAAACUGGGUUUUUGUUUGGUUUGUGUUACAUUUGCCUACUUAUUUAAUCUAUUAAUGUUAAUAAUAGAUUAAUUAAUUAAUUUUACAUGUAAGGAGAAAUUGGGUGGGUACUGGAAAAUUACCCUUUCUCCUUUUGCUUAGGAGCCCUUAAGUGCCCCCAACUGGUACUGCUUUGCCCAUCAUAGAACUUCCCUUUGACAGGGGUUACAGGCCAAUCACUAGAAAAGCAAGCAAGACUGAUGCCAUAUGUGUCUACUGUAAAGAAGUCAUCAAAUGAGAAACUGAAUUAACUGUUGCAUACAUGUCAAGAAGAUACAUCCACAAACAUACUACAAACAAAAAUGCAAAAUGAAAAAAUGUAUUCAAAAUCAACCUUUGAUGCAAAACAUUCACCUAUUCAAUGACUACAGUCAUGGUCUUAAAUAACAGAGACACUAGAGAAAGCAAGGAAUAUUUAACUACCCAACACAAUGGAGAAGACAAUCUUUGGUUUUAAAGCAUUCAAGUCUCAGGAAUGAAGCUCCAAUCAAUCAUGUUGGUGUUGUAGUUUUUCUAAGUGUUCAAUGAGCUCUUUUCACAUCUGCCCUGGACACAGGAAAGCUUCAGAGGAGGCCCUAAGCCACUUCUAGAUAUAUUUGCAUCAUGUCAACAUUAAUCUCUUUUUGUUUGGUAAUUUUCAUAUACUUUUGUCACCCUUCUUACCCCAACCUUCUCUCAGCGACUGAGAUUUAUUUUAUUUUGUUUGUUUGUUAUUCAAGUAAAUUAGACACGUAGUUCUAUUUCAAUUUUAUGGAAACAACUGCGAGUGUUCAUAGCUCUCAUUUUCAGUUUCACUUUGUGUACAUAAAGAUCUCUGUGUGAGGUACAGCUCUGACUUUCAAUACUGUCUUAGUACCCCAAUCCAAGACUGGAAUUAGUCCCAUUGUAUGUGUUUGUAGCACCACAGUAUGCUUGCUUAUCGUGCCACAAAAUGACCCUGUAAGACUGGCAUGCUUUGUCAGCUUCUGGAAUAAUUAGAUCAUUGAUUUCAUCCUAUCUGUAAAACAACCACAUGGUUGGAAGAAUCUUACCACCACCUUGCACUUAGACUCUGUGUCACAGCUGAAUGCUGAAAUGCCACAAGCUUGCAUGGGAGUCACUGUUUCAUUAUUAACAAUAUUGUAGCUUUUUAAAUUCAUAAAUUAAAGAAUGAUAUUAUUACAAGUAGAUUUUUAUAAGUAAGGUACUAUAUGUGUGUGUGUGUCCAAAUUUUCUACUUCUCUGUGAUAAUUCUGUAAUCUAAUUCAAUUAGUAUGUCUAUAUUGCAAAUUAAUAAAACUGUUGAGGUUAUAAAGUUGUUCAUUAAGGAAGCAAUUCUCUUGCCACUUGGUUUGUUUGUUCUCUACACUAAACUGAGAUGCCAGAUGGCCACAGUAAGGCAUGUUAAUAUUAUUUAAAUAGUGGUCUUUAUUCCUUGAAAUGUUUAAGAAGUUUAAGAAACUUCAAUUAACAUGCUGCAUUGUAUUUGGAAGAAAUAAUUUUUUGAACAUUUUAUUCCUAUAAUGUGCUUUUUGUAUUCAUGACUGAAAAUGAUAUAUUGUAUAUUGUAAAAAGCAAUCCUAUUUCAUCUUCUACAUUUAUUUAGUUGCUCUGUGUGUGUGUGUGUGUGUGUGUGUGUGUGUGUGUGUGUGUGUAGGUAUAAAUAUGUGGGCCUGUGUGUGCCUCACAGAACACAUGUAGAAUUCAGAGGAAAAUUGUGGCAGUUAUUUCUCCCCUUUGACCAUUGGUUCCAGGAUUCAAACUCAGGUCUUUCGGCUGAGAGUCAAACACCUAUCUUUACCUACUGAACUAGCACAUUGGUCCAGCAAUUCCAUUUCUAGUUAUUCAGUUUUAAUAAUCUAAUAUUGUUUAAUAGGUGCUGAUAAUCUUCUGUAGUUUCCAAUUUAAUUUUUAGACUUUUAAAUUUUAUAAGUUUUAAGUUUUUGGCUGUCUUUUUUUUCUCAUAUUUCUGUAUGUAUGUGUAUAUGAAUGCACCUGUAUACAUAAAAGACCUGAAUCUAUGAUUUUCCUUUGAGGAUUUAUUCUGCCUAAAAUAAGGUAGUUCCUCUUCCUCCUUUCCCAAUACAGUCUAUUAUUCUAAAUGCUGAAUGAAUUCAACCUGCAAUAUGCAGCUUCUCUCAAGAGGAUAUCAUGAAAUCCUCUCUCCUGCUUUUGGAUAUCUUUAACUUUUAAUAUAUUUUAAUUAAUUUAUUAAAUAUGAACUUCUUGGUAGUGUUUAGAGUACUAUACUGCUUAAAUAUUUUUAAUUAAUGUUCGCAGUCAACUUAGCUUUAAACCUUGAGAACAGGAAGUCUUCUGAAAUAAUCUUUGUAAAUUUAUUAUCUAGUUGCUGUUUGAAAACAAUAGUAGUAAAUACAAUACAAAUGAGCAAUGUGAUCUCAAACAUAUCACAUGGGAAAUCCAUAGUGGAUAAUAAUAUUCAAAUAAAUAUAACUAUUAAAUAUAGUUAUCAUUAAAAUGUGGAGUGUAUACAUUUGAUUUUUUCAAGUGUUAGGGACAUGAUAAAUGAUAGAUGGAUGACAGAUAAUUAUCUUAGUGUGUGAAUAUAUGCAUGUGACUUGUGUAUUUGUCUGUUCCUCACUCUAUGUGUGUAUGUAUGUGGAGGGGGCAUGUGUAUUACUAAGUAUGAGUACCACAGCACAAGACAGCCUCCCGUCUCGAUCCUCGUCUUCCACCUUGAGAAAGGUUCUCUGAUGUUUUCUGUCUGCCUAUGCCAUGCUAAGCUGAACCACAAGUUUCCAAGGCAUCUUCUGUCCCCAUCUCCUAUCUGACUAGAGGGAUGCUAUGAGGAUACACCCACACUACUGCAUCUGGCAUUACACAGGAUCUGAUGAUCCUGCAGCUUGCAUGGCAAACACUCUCCUCACUGACUUAUGUCUUAACCCCCAAGAAUGACUUGGAAAAGAGAAAAAUAUAAUGACUUAAUUUUCAUUAGCCUAUUACUACUUUUUAAAAUCCAUUCUAUUUUGCCUUCUUAUUACUGAUGAUAAUAUGAGCCAGUGAGUUGCUGUCAUUACAACGUCUGCUUUCUGAGGAGGAACCCAGUGCUCAGAGAAUUAUAAUUCUAUCAUAAAGAUUUGAUCUGUAUAUAUUAAUCAGCUAAAGCGGCAGUCUGAGUCGUCUAACUCUGUGAAAUUCUGCUUUCUUACCCACCACUAAUCUGUUGGCAAUCAUUACUGCUUUAAAAAAUCAAUGUAGAUAAUUGAGUUAUUACAAAAAUUUAGGAAACAAGUAAGGCAAAAAAAAUGUAAUCUCAAAUUUGGUUGUUAGAUACAGAAACUGCCAAAUAUUCUUAGCGGAGAGCCGAAUGGUUUCUUAAAUUACAGCCUUCAUUUGUGUUCCUUGCUCUGGGUGGUAAUGCACCUGGAGCACUUCCAGUGCCUGGACUACAUUCUAAGUAUUGUUCAAAUCCAUCAAGAUGUAUCUUCUCUGAGACGAUCAGAGGCAUGCACGCCAACCAAGUUGCCAUGUUUACACCCUUACUAUCUCUGGCCCCCUACAUGGCUGAUUGAACUGGGGCCACAGAUUGGCUAGUAAUCUGGGAACUUGGUAAUAAUGCUUUAAAACUUGACCUGUGUGUGUUAUUGUUGCUGUUUCACCUUUGGAUAGAUUGAAUAUAUGAAGAAAGGAUUUUCUAUAGCACACCAAGGCAAGAUAGAAGCAUCGGACCCUCAGAAUGACCUGAGAAAGCUGGGUAGCGUGAGGGCAGAAAGAGGGAUAUGUGCAGUGGAGCUGAGUCAUGUUAAUGUGGGAUCAGUAAAGAUUAAAGAACAGCUGACACUGCAGAGGUACGUAAGCUGCCAUCAUACUAUAAUUACCUUGAUUCCAAUAGCCCUUAGCCCCGGGCAUGAACAGCAUUUUCUUUGACUGUUGUAAGAUAUAGACCCUAUACUUCUUUCAGGGUACGUAUAUAUCUUGGCUGGCAUAAAUGGGCCUCUAAAUUAUUAAGAAACUUAGCUUAACUAAGACUUAGUCCCAGGCUUUUUACAUUUUAUCAAAUAAACUUAUUCCAGAACUAACAGAUGCCACAGGGGAAGACAAAUUACACAUUUUGGCAGUGGUAUUUUAAAUCGAACUGGUCUGAGAUAAUAGAACAAUCUACAUGCUUCUAAAAUCCUAUCUCUUAUCUACAUCCCUAGUUUUCUGUUUCUUUGUUUCCAACUUCCUCCCCUUGAAGAUUGAUUAUAGGGUUUUCUGUAAUUCGUUACAGUUUGUUUUUGCUCAAGGAGACAAUCCCUUGAAAUUUAUACCAAAUUAUCGCAAUAAUGGAUGCACUCUCAUAAUUCACCUGUCUUCUGUAUAAUGAGUGAUUUGUGAAACUCUUUAGAACUGAACCUCGGUCUUUAAUGGACCAGACAUGUGCUUUUAGCUGCACUAACCAGGACACAUAUCAUGUGACAAUGGCUUCUGGAAUCACCCCAGAAACCAAAGGUGCAAGUAGGAGAUUGUGUGUGUUGUGUUUCACAACACAGGAUUAUCAUCUUGAUGGCUCUUUGUCUUUUGCAAUGUAAGUGUUCCUGUUGUUGUUACCUUGUAGCUACAGUAAAAUGAACAUUUUAUUUAAUUUUUUUGUGGGCCAAAAUUAUCUUUUAGCACAAAAGUCAAAACACUGCUUCUUUUAAAAUUCUCCAAUUAAUUCUGAAUUUUAAAUGACUGUUAAAUUAAACGUUUCCGGUUGGGUGUUAACAAUAAGGGGCCUUCGAUUGAAAAGAGCUCAGUGUAAUCUUAUUGAGCCAGUAGGCCAUAAGAAUAAGAGGAAACGUGUUUGAAUCACAGGAGAGCACGGAUGCUGGAUGGAUCUGUAAAAUACUCUCUGUUGUGGUAUCAGCUGACUGAUGGCUGUGAUUCUCAGAAGGACUCCAACAAUAUGCUUUCUAAAAGCUGGAGAUUAAUGCAACCAUGGUGAACCACACAGCGACACUCUGGCAAAGAAAAAGGGUCAGGACUGGCAAGAUGUGGCAGGUGUCAAAAUAAAAGGUUAGGCUUUGUGCCUGGGGACCCAUCUGUCAGAUAAAACUAUGAUAAGGCAAUUAAUGUAUUUGUUUAUGUUGCUCAUGACACACCACACAUUCCAUAAAAAUGAUCAGUUUAAACACUCUCAACUGUUUUCUGGAAAAUAGACUGUAUGUAACAAGAAAAUGCUCAAAAUAAAAAUAAAUGAGGGUUUAUUAGCUAAAUGGGCAGUUUAUACAGCCAAAUCAACACAGAGGAUUUCUAGUCAUCUGUACUAAAGAACUAAAGCUAUUAACUAUAACCUUUUCAAAAAGUAGAGUUUGCAUUAGGGAUGCUUGAAGCAGAUGUUUAUACUGCAAGAUAAUUGCUAUAACAACUUAAAAUUUCACCAUGCUUUACAUUCGUGAUGCUAGAUUCUAAGUUUGUAAUAAAAUACAACCCAGAGAAUGUAUGAGAAAAUGAGAAUUUCCAUCCACAAGCUAUGUACCCUGCAUUUUCUUCAAAUGUUUUGUUCACAACAUUGUCAUUAUUAGGGCUUUCAUUUUCACUCUGUGAGUAAUUCUGACUCCUCUCAUUGUAUUUAUUAUUUAUUUAGUUUUCUCACGACAUCUGCUUUACAAUCUGUUUAAACUAGAAUAUGUUUAGAUUUAAUAUUCAUCAGUGAUGUACUUCUUGCAGAUAAAAAAUUAUCAUAUACUUAGAAAUGCCCUAUUAUUUUACAGGUCAAAAAAUAUAGAAGAACGUACCUGGAACUGUGAAAGAAUUAAGUUUUUUAUUUUCCCCCUGCUCAAAAUUAAAGUAAAAAUUGAUUUCCUCAUUACUUUUUGCUGUGGAGUUUUAAAAAAGCUCUCAGUUAUUGUUUCAAUACCUUAUUCUUACAAUAAUAUUGCAUCUUGAAGAGAAGAGACGGCCUCGUCGACUGCAUAAUGUACUAAGUAGAAUAGUCAAGGCCUUUAAUUUCCAAGGAGAAGUCAGAUGUGGCUAUUCUGCUUUCAAGCUGCACGCUCUCACAGAGUGGUGGUGUUAGCAUUCAUUGUGACAACAGACAGAGCAUUUGAGAAAACAAAGCUCCCGUGUUCAAUAGGUUUAUUUUCAUUUUUUUGAGAUAGGAUUUACCCCACUAUCACUGCUUCCCAUCUAUUACAAAGGUUUUGGUUAAACUUUAAGGCAAUGGUUUUUCUCACCAUGACAGCUUUCCAGCCCAAAGCACGUCACAAUCUUCUAUUUUCUUCCAUCUCACAUUGAAGCAUGGCUUCCAUGGAGCAACAGGGACAUCAGGGUAGAAGCCAAGACAGAAGGAAAGGUCAGUGGAAACUCAACACACAGACAUUAUUACACGGUUCUUCCAGAGGUCUGGUGCAAGACUUACAAAUUACGUUUGCAGUCCAACUACAACUAACUACUAUUUCAAAUUGAAUUCACUCCUGCCUGUAUUUCCUGACUCAGAGCUUUAUACUGUUGCUUUAAUUUUAUUUGAAUUUCAGUCUCCUGAAUUAGUUCUGUUUCCUAUCUCUUUAUCUUCAUUUGCCUGGAUAUAGUUGAUAAUACACUACGGCAAAAUGAAAUUCUUAGUCACCAUGCUAUAUGACUCUUCAAAAUUCUAAGAUGUGUAAAAUUACCAAGCUGUGAUCAGUUAAGCUAACUUGCCACUUUCUCUGUAACAUAGAAUAAAAGUAAUAAUCUCCACAGAGAGUCGGGCUCGCACACAUUUUUCACAGAUCCAUUAAAAGACACAUCAAACAAAAGGUAAGAUGAUUUUUAACUUCUUCACAGAAGGGACUGUCCAUUGUAAAGGAGCAAUUUCACAGCACAUAUUCUAUCUUUACAUGGAAAGAAAAUAAAUGGCAAGGUUCCUUUUAUUUUAAAAUGAUUUAAUUUCUACUUUCACUUUUCUGCAGAAGUGUGAAAGAGCAAUUUUUCUGGAUAUCCACUUCAGUCAUUUGAAGACAUUAUGAGGACUCAUGUGGGGUCCUUGACCUCUCUUUGCUCUAAGACAGUGCAAACCUGCCUCUGUUUUAAUCACAGGAGGCUCAGAGCUACCUCGAACUGUAGCAGAAGAGAGGACUGUAUGCAUCUCCCUGACAUCAUGUCCGGUAACAUCCCAGUCGAAGACCACACACAGCCAAGAUGAUUUAGAGGACAAUCCUAGAUAAGGCAAAUCAGGGUUCUAGCUCUGUGUUAUUAUUUCAGCAGCAAACUGCAGGAGGGCAACAGCAUCCCCAACUCUUACAAGUCUUCCUUCUUUAUUUUCACUGAAGAAGAAACAAAUGGAAUGAAAGUACUGUCUGUGUACAAAGCUGCAGAGCUUUCAAUAGAUGGUAUAUUUCAGGGUUCCUGUAUGUAGCAAACAUCAGUAUCAUAACUCUCAUAAUUUAAUUCAGCAUGUUCUACAAAACUGUGAACACUUUUGCAAUUCUAAUGCACUAGAAAGCAUUUCAAUUAGUUCAUCACAUUUCUAAGGGAAGAAGAUUUGUAAAAGUCUUUUUACUGGCUUUACAGGUGAGAUGCUUUCCUUUAAGUAUUAUUAGAAGGUUCCAAAGACAAUAUACAAUUACUAAUAUUUGUCUAUUAAAUUCAUAUGUAUAUAUACACAUCUAGAAUAUGUAUAUAUUCUAUGUAUGUGUGUAUAUAAGCAAAAAUUAGAGACAAUAGAGAAAUCCUAUUUACUGGGUUACUCUCAACUGCUUGCUCAGCUUGCUUUCUUUUAUUUAAAAUUAAUGUAUUUCGUAAGUUUCAUUUUACAUUCCAACCUCAGUUCUCCCUCCCAUCUCUCCUCUGGUCCCAUUGCUUCUACCCAACCCUCCUAUCCCUAAACUCUCUCCAAUCCCCUUCCCCCCAGCCCAUUCCUUCAAAAGCAAGGGCUCCCCAUGAUGAGUCAACAAAGCCUAGCACAUUGAGUUGGGGCAGGACCAAGCCCCUCUCCCAUGCAUUUUGGCUGAGCACGGUGUUCCACCAUAGGGAAUGGGCUCCAACAUCAGCUUGCUUUCUUAAGCAACCCAACGUACUCUGUGUGGCAUUAGCCACCAUGACAUGAACUGUCUCACAUUCCUCAUUCAUCAAGAAAACGUUCCCCCUGCACAGCUGUUCCUACAAGCAAUCUGAUGGACACGACUCCUCAGUUGUCUCUUUUCCCAUAUGACUCUAGUUUGUGAGAUGUUUAAAGAAAUUAGCCAUCAACACACAUGUACACACACACACACACACACACACACACACACAUACACACACACACGCUGAUUGGCAUUUUAAGCGCUCUUCAGAAUUAGGGCAAAUCUGUGAUUUAAUUCUUCAUCACAUUCCUUGGUAAAUUAGUAUGAGGCCUGGUGCUAGUUGUAUGCCCUGCUGUUCAGGGAGUGCUAAUAGAAUAUUGUAAGCCAGAGGCCAUUGUAUCUAUCAUGAUGACAGGCAGUGUGUACAAUGUAAACCGUUAAAGGUAGUGUCUGCAGGAUAUCAGGAAUUUAAGUAAAGAUUAAACCACCAGUAAAUCAGCCUACUGACUUUCCUAGCUAAAACCUCUUUGGAUGCUUCUUUCUACUUCUGCUCUAGGAAUGUAGUUUUUACUUAACAAACUUUGUGUGAUUGUUUACAAAAGUGAAACUCUCUCUGUGUCUCUCUCCCUGCCCCCCUGUGAAAUUUUGCCAUAUGCUACUCCAUACCACACCCCUCGUCCCAUCCACCAACUGUCACUUCAAUCUGGGCUUUGCCAAUUGCCACACUUUGGCCAAUAUCAUUUUAGCCAGCAGGACUAAGGGAGAUAUUUGUCAAGGCUGCCAUAUCUGCUGCCCUGAGGAAAGAAGCUUGAGCUACUUUCCUGUGGUGUACAGGAGAGAGAUGUCAUGUCAGGUAAGGGCCAUGGACCAAAUACUAGCUACCUGGCAGUUGUUAUAAUAUAAUAAGAUGACCUGUUCAGUAAUAUUCACAUAUCACCCAAAGACUCAUGAAAAUAGGCAAUACAAUUGUUUUUAAAACCGGAAUUGGCAUAUAGCUCAAGGAACAAACCCUAAACAUCAGCUACUUUUAAAAAUGCAGAAUCCGGGGUAACACGGACACAUACAUUUAUUUACAUGUUUUCUAAGACUGUUUUCACAUUGCACAAAAAAGGCACAGUUGAAUCAUCAGAAACCGCAUGGCACAAAGAGCCUAAAAACAUAACAUUGUUCCUUUUGCAGGGAAAACUUUGUGAACUCUUGCUUUAAGUCUAAGAGGUAAAGUGAUUUGUUGGGCAGCGAUAAAUUAUACAGACAUUUGCCCAAAGGGAGCAUGCCUCAUUCCUUAUUAAACCAAUAAAUUCCUCUGCUUGUGAAAAGCUACAUAUGCAUUGGCAGAGCCAAUAACCCCUUCUGUGGAUGAUGCUUAUUGUUGAGCUUGCAUUUCUAAAGUAUGGUUAUGCAGAUGGCUGGCUGAACACCAGCAUCUGCUACUUAUUUACCAUAGCAAUGGAGCUGGCCACAAGGCUAUCCUUUCAGGAUUGUAUUUCUGAGUUCCUACAUUUUAUGUGACCCCAAGUUUUUAUUUCCCUCUCUGAGAUAAGAAGGGAAGAGAUGCCAGCAUUUCUCAGGUUUUCUCCCUUCAUUUCUUCCUCUUCCAAUUAACAGCAACCAAUAGCCACUUGAUUCACCAUCCUAAUAAGUAUAAUAUGCUAGAGAAGGAGGAAGAAUUGAAUACUCUUUAAAUAAAUCAAGCCAACGUUUUCACUUUCUAUAACUCCAUGGAGCAGGAGUUCUAACAACUUGGAAUGGUCAUGUUGAUCUAAAAAUAAGAGAGAAAUAAAGUUGAGUCUUCUCUAAUGUUCCAAGUGGCUGUUGGAUAUCAUGGUUCAGCAGACUGGCUAUCUCCUAACUACAGUAACAGCUUUAAUAAAAAAGUUUUGGCACUAAAUUGAUUUAUCUGAUAAAACAUUGGAUACUUUAUCAAAUGACUUUGAUAAACUUUGUCCCAAUUUGUUACUUGGCCAGAGGCGAACCAUUUACAGUAACCAUAUUUUUUCUCUUCCUAGAUAAAAAUAUACAACUCCAGACAGAUGAAGCAGGAAUUUUGAACACUGACCUUUCUAAGUCCUGUUUCUCCCAAGUCAGAGGGCUGCAGUAACUGGAGAUUGCCCUAGGCAUAUGUCAUUUUUGUUCCCAGAAAUGCUUGUGCACCAACAUAAUGCCUUAGGUGAUGCAAUAGGGGUAUAAUCAAGGUGAGCCUUUGCUAUGCAGGCAGCUGAAAAGCACAUACGGUGAAAUUUUUAGUCAAUUAGGGGAAAAUUAGGGAAGAAUUUAGUCACACUGUGAAUCCAUAAACAGUGAUGGCAGUCAAUAUGGGUCAAUGAGGGCAACUUUUAAGUAUGCACAUUUGAGCACAGUCACUAUUUCUCCAGUGAUUGUUUCCCUAAGACUGGGGUAAAUCCUAUCAACUCAUAGAUGACACUAACCCAGGUGAUUCUGAGAGUGAACUACCUUAGAAAACCAAGUAUAUAGCAGACUUAACGUCCAGAGGUUAAGACCCUGUUAUAGAAAUUUUUGAAAUCUAAAUGCAGCAAAUAUGUACUAGGGAAUAAGAAAGAAAAACAGCCAAAAAAUCAACAAACAAAAAUCAAAUCAGUAAAAACCUUAGUUUAGUUUCCAGAUGAAAUGCACUAACAAAUAUUCUUCCCAGAGUAAUUUUGUUGAAAUUCCCAACCACAACUGUAAAAAUAGAAGCUGGCUUGUGGUACUUGGGGACUGCCUACUCAUUCCUCGAUGCCCUUUUAAGAGUAACUUUUGGUGGAAACUGUAUCAGCUGUUCUUGUUACAGACCAUCUCAGAUUCUGUAAUUUCUGGAACAGGACAAGUAGCAUAAUAGUCUUAGUUAUCUAAGUACCUACUUUCCCUGCUGGAUUGAAUGCCAUGUAAGGAAAGAAAAAUAUAUUUUUCUUGAUCACCAAAAUAUUCCCAGGGCUAGUUAAGACAGUAUGAAGAGGCCAGACCAAUAAAAAAUACUUUCUGAAGAAUUAGAUCUCAGGAGGGGGAUGAGUGGGGGGGGGCAACGAUUGAAUUUUACCAGCAUCUGAAAUGGGCAUGAAUGUGAUGAGCCCUUUGCAAAAUGACCUCAUAACAAGCAGAGCAGAUAAUGACUUAAGCAACAAUGAGCAAGAGGUGUUUUCAAAGACAGUAUUGGGCUAUGCCCAUUGUGGUUAUUAUUGUCAGAAGAUACAUGAGGGAAAUGUAGAUUUUGGUGCUGGGUCAAGGACAGGCAAGGAAAAUUCAGUUCAGACCAGUCGCCUUAUAAGGACAUACUUAGUUUUGGGAGAGGAAAUUGGAAUCCACUUUGGUUUUCUAUGCCACAAUAUAGUUACUAUGGUUAUUCUUCUUUGCUAGUAAAUUUCCUUUUAGAUAGCUUUCAGAAUGUGUAUUCAUGUACAAGAGAGCUGGUGUUCAGAUACCCUCCUUCUCAAGGCAGUAAUCUUCCCAGGUACUAGAGUUGGAAACAGAACAAAUAAAAAUAGCCAACUUAGAAUGGAACCCAUUUCUCCAUGAUUACGUUGAAGUUUUAAGUUAAAAUGCAUUAUUGGGGUGCUGAAGCACUCCAGAAGUGAGGAAAACCAACCAAAGCAAAGAUAAGAACACAAUACACCAGAAAGAAACUAAAGGAAACCUAAGAGAAAACUGUGACUUGUGCUCUGCCACAAAGGAACACAUCUGUGUCAUUCUGCAACAUCAGAACUUUUUGAAUAACAAUAAAUUCAUAAGGUUUAGUAGUUUUAAGGACAGUAAUUUGUUAGAUAAUCCUACUACCUUGGUAAUCUGCCUAAUGCCAAUAAAGGCUCUCUUAUUUGCACCUUAAUUGGUAAUGAUGAAUCUUUUUUUUUCAAGGCAGGGUUUCUCUGUAUUGUUUUGGAGGCUGGCCUGGAACUAAUGAUGAAUCUUAUAUCAUGCAUUACUCAGCACACAGUGAGUGUGCUAAUAUUUCUAUAGACAUAUGUGUGGUUUACAGAAUGAAUAUAAGCUAAAGAAGCUGCAUCAGCAUUCAACAGGUCCUAGAAGUAGGCUGAUGGCAAUGUUAAUAGAGGCUGUAGUGAUAAAAUAACUAAGAAUUCAUGCCAGGGUAACAGACGAUAGAUUGUUGUGAGGGCCUGCCAUUUCAUGGGGUUCAUGUGAAGGAAAUACAGCUUUUCUUUGGUCUAAAGAGUCUUAUCAGUUUUUGCGUCUAGUUUUCCUGUGAUAAUUUUAAAAUACCCAUGUGCCCUAAAAGACUCAGUUCAUCCCAAUAAACUUCAAAGGCAGCACCCUUUUUAUUACAAGGAAUAGGUUAUCUAUCAUUUGGAACUAGAUGGGUGGCACCCAACAAAUAUUGUGGGUUAUGGGUACACCCAAGGGUCUCAGUUGUCUGCCUUUAAAAUGGAGUAAACAACUGUUUGUAAAAUAGAAUCUCCUGCAUCAUGACACAGUCUGAAAACCCCCUGUUUUAUCCAAUAUGAAGUAACUAAGAGUGGGGGCAAAACCUGAUCUCAACAAAACCAAAAUGGGUAAGAGCCAAGCUGACUGGGAAAAAAAUCACUUAACCUCUCUCUACCUGGAUAUCAUUAGUAUAAUUAGGAUGAAAUAAUUUAUAAGGUUGCUAUUAACGUUAAAAUUUUCAUGAGCAGUGAGGCUUUAGGAACAUGAUGUAUUCAGCAGAAAACACAACUGUUUUUCAAUAUUCCUUUUACAUAUAAUGGAAGCAAGUUAAAAUAAUAGGUUUCACAAAGCCAUUAAAUAUUUACUGGUCACUCUUUUGAUGACCAUUUUGAUUCAUUACAUAGUGUAUAUAAAUCAUUGAUAUUUUCAAAUUACAAACAGCUCAGGAAGGAACUUUGCAGCUCCUGCCAUGGCCUUGAAUUAAAAUAUGAAUUACCUCCUCUGUGGGGGUGUGCUUAAGCUUAUCAUUUGUUAAGAGCACUAAGAAUCUAAGCAAGAUACUGCAUAUGUAUGAUAAGUGCAAGUUAUUGUAUAUGUAUGAUAGGUUUAUUAUAAUAAUCUUCCUUGAAUUGCAAAUUAUGUCACAUGUUCAUUUUACCUUUUCUGGGAGUCUCCCUAUUUAUUUUUAAAACAUGGGUAUCCAGUAACAACCAAAUUCAAACAGAGAUGUUCUCUAUGUCUCAUGACAUACCAUUAGUGAAAGUAAAAUAUGUUAUUUCUCUAGAGAGAAAUAUAAUUAAAGAUAAAGGGAGAUUUGGAUGUCACUUAUUUAUAAAUACCACAACACUAUUUUAUGGUUCUGUACAUUAUUCUUUUUUAACUUAGUUAUAUGUCCCUACUACUGCAUUUUCUUUUUCCUAAAGUGUCAUUGCUUAUUUUUCUAUCUACUGGGGUAUAACCUUCAGAUUUUGCAAUUUCUCCAAAUGCUCCUAGAAUAGUUGUCAGUACCAGGUGUUACAGAGCCAAGGAUUAUUCAUUGAUAAAAGUCUUUCAAUGUUCCUUCCUACACUCCCUUCCCAAACUUGUUCUCAAACCCUGCCACAGACCCUUGCCUUCCUAAGAUCACCAUUACCUACCCUAAUUCAUUCCCACCCCCUCUUUCUCAUGCAAAUGAACAUGCCCAGGCCUCCUGCCUUGAAAUGCCAGACAACUUCCGGGAAGCUUUUUUUCCAAAUUCUUUCUCUUUCUUUUUUUUUCUUCUCCUCCUUUUUUUUUUUAAACUAUGUCUGUUUUUGAAAUUCAGAAAAUGUGGCAGUCAGGUAAUAAGUAAAUCUGUCAGGGUCCCCAAACUGAUACAUGACAAAUGAAGUCAGGACCUGUUUGGAAGCAGCUAAUAAUGAUUGUGUUAUGUCUUAGGGCUUGUGUACAUUUGAAAUGCAGAUGGUGUAUAGAAUACAGCUGAAUGUGGUAUUAAAACAAGUUGCUCACCAUCCAUUAAUUCUCUAUGUCUGCCAAUUAUAUUAGAGCUCUGGUCACAAACUAUACAAGUAGCUUUCAUGGGUGGGUGUAUAUAUAUAUAUAUAUAGCAUUCCUAGGCACUGAGAAUACCUAUCACUACAUUCACCAGAUGUUGAAAAUUACCUCUGCACUGCUGAACACAAUCUUUAAACAAUAUUAGCAUUCUAAUUUAUUCAAUUUAAGACAGAGUUCCUAGUAUGCAUAAAACCACCAUAAUUUGUUGCAUGAAAUAAGUAAACUAGUUCUGAUUUUAGUUUCUGAGACAACUCCAUACUGAUUUCCAUUGUAGCUGGACUAAUUGCAUUACAACACCUUUUCCCCCAUUUCUAUUUAUGUUUUUAUUUAUGUUUGUAUAUAUGUUUAUGUGAAUACAUGCCACAUUCUGCAGGUGCUUUGGGAUGCCAGAAGAGGGUGUCAGAUCACCUGGAGCAUGAGUUAUAUGUGGAUGUGAGCAGCCCAAUUUUGUAAUCCACCAGACCAGCAGCUGGGAAGAACUCUUCAUUUUCUGUCCUGGGAAAUAAUAGCUUACAAAUACAGUCCCUCUUAGAAGCAAAAAGAACUUUACAUUUUUUAACUAUUUAUAAUUAUGCACUAUUUAUUGUUUUGUCUGACUUACAAAAUAUAUAUCUUUGAUUAUUAUCCAUAUUGGUGAAGAUAAGAAAAGUUUAUUUUCAGAACUUACAGUAUUAAAUUUCAUCAUUAACUUUCUGCAAUUGACUCGUUCCUUCUACUAUCUCUGAAAAUUUGCUCUUGCCCUGCCCCCCAGCUUUUAGUUAAAGCAAAUACUAUUUUUAUAACAAUAAAUACAUGUGUGUAUACAUGCAUAUGAGUACAUGUAUUGAUCCUGCUUAAUAUGUACUGAGUGUAAUUGUUCCUGUGUUGCUUUAAUAUGCCUGUUGAGCUUUUCUCUAAACCCUUGUCCAGUUUGUAUCUGUUCGCACUGGGCUGGGUUCAACUGAACUCAGCCUCACCAAUACUGGAGUUGUCUGGUGUCUCUUUACUCUACUCAAGUAGGUUAGUAGAGGCCUCAAUCUGUUUCUGACUUACAUUAAACUGGUGAACGAAGUAACUGGGGGAAUUUAUCACAGCCAUUGGUCUUUUGGACAUGCACAUUUCUCAACAGACCAUUGAAGUCCUUUCCCAAGUUUUCUACGGGACUGUAUCAUUUUUUAUAUUGACUUGAAAUUUUCUUAACAUAGUCUAGAUGAAUUUGGAUGCUAUCGAUUUAUGUAUAUACAUAUGUCAUUUACUAAUAUGUUUUGAUUUUAAUUCUAUGAUAUUUUAUUCACCAAAUACUCUUUAAUUUUUUAUUUUAUUCAUUGCUAUUUUAUAUUUCUGUGAUGUGUGUGUGGAUUGUUGUGCAAGCCAGACCACAUGUGUGUAGGUUAGGACAAUAUUCAGGAGUUAAUUCAUUGACUGUACAUCCCGGAGAUUGAACUUAGCUUGUCAGGCUUAUGCAGCAAUCACUGAUUUCCACUGAGCCAUUUUCACAGCCAAAAAUUCUUCAAAUUAGCAUAGUAAAGCUUACUAACUGAACUUCAAUGCUGCUCAAUUUAUCAUUUUCUCCUUAAUGUAAUGUUAAUGAUAUGUACUGACUAAUAAAUAAGUGACACUUUUCAAAAUA